rnacentral:rRNA from 1 species
AACGCACCUUGCACCCCUUGGCAUUCCGAGGGGUACACCCGUUUGAGUGUCGUGAAAUUCUCAAACCUUUUUGGUUUCUAUGAUCAAGAAGGCUUUGGACUUUGGAGGUCUUUGCCGGCUUUGUAACAAGUCGGCUCCUCUUAAAUGCAUUAGUGGGGUCCUCUUUGCCGAUCCCUAGGCGUUGAUAAGAUGUUUCUACGUCUUGGGAUUUGCUCUGUUUAUUGGGAACCUGCUUCUAACCGUCUCACUACAAAGAGACAUUGUUCGAGCUUUGCUCGACCCACGAACCUUGACCUCAAAUCGGGUGAGACUACCCGCUGAACUUAA